GCAGGGCUUCUUUUAAAAGUUCUAGAUGUGAUCAAUAUCUUUUGUCAGAGCAGGGCUUCUUUUAAAAGUUCUAGAUGUGAUCAAUAUCUUUUGUCAGAGCAGGGCUACUUUUAAAAGUUCUAGAUGUGAUCAAUAUCUUUUGUCAGAGCAGGGCUACUUUUAAAAGUUCUAGAUGUGAUCAAUAUCUUUUGUCAGAGCAGGGCUUCUUUUAAAAGUUCUAGAUGUGAUCAAUAUCUUUUGUCAGAGCAGGGCUUCUUUUAAAAGUUCUAGAUGUGAUCAAUAUCUUUUGUCAGAGCAGGGCUACUUUUAAAAGUUCUAGAUGUGAUCAAUAUCUUUUGUCAGAGCAGGGCUUCUUUUAAAAGUUUUUGGGUUGGAUUAUAUUAUAGAAAGAUACAGGAUACUGAUCAUGAUUGAAUUUACGUUGAAAAUAUUACAAACUUAUCAUAAAAACAAGGCCAAGGUCAGAUGAACCAUAACAGACAGACAAUCUUCUUUGUUAAAUAUUUGUUUGUUUUGUUCUGAUUGAGAUUGUGACACAGUGAUGACUGCUGUACCCCUAUUUUGACAAUUUUACCUA
rnacentral:lncRNA from 1 species